UACGUAGGUGACCAGCGUUGUCCGGAUUUACUGGGCGUAAAGAGCGCGCAGGCGGUCGUUCAAGUCGAGUGUGAAAGCCCCCGGCUCAACUGGGGAGGGUCACUCGAUACUGAUCGACUGGAAGGCAGGAGAGGGAAGCGGAAUUCCCGGUGUAGUGGUGAAAUGCGCAGAUAUCAGGAGGAACACCGGUGGCGAAGGCGGGUCUCUGGGCCGUAACUGACGCUGAGGAGCGAAAGCAUGGGGAGCGAACAGG
rnacentral:rRNA from 1 species